UACAGAGGGUGCGAGCGUUAAUCGGAAUUAUUGGGCGUAAAGGGAGCGUAGGCGGAUAAAUAAGUGGUAUGUGAAAGACCCGGGCUUAACCUGGGGAGGUCAUAUCAGACUGUUUGUCUAGAGUGAGGUAGAGGAAGGUGGAAUUCCUGGUGUAGCGGUGAAAUGCGUAGAUAUCAGGAAGAACAUCGAUGGCGAAGGCAGCCUUCUGGGCCUUUACUGACGCUGAGGCUCGAAAGCGUGGGGAGCGAACAGG
rnacentral:rRNA from 1 species